rnacentral:lncRNA from 1 species
AGAAAAAAAGUUUCAAACUUGUCGAAUAAUCUCACAAAAAAAGAAGCAAACAUUUCGGCGACUUUUUUAACAGGUAUAUUCAAAUGACCGGUAGAAAAAGCGGAACAUCAAUAUUAUGGUAAUAAACUUUACAUUUAUUCUACCUAACAUAACGGCACUGUGUGUUGUGAUUCAAUUUUGUUGAAAAUAUUGACAAAAAAAAAAUACGCACGUAAAACAUCUGAUCAAUAAGCAAUAUCAAAUAAAGCAACGUUUUUCUAUUGCAAGAAAAGUGUUUCAAAAGUUGAAACUAGGGACAAAGUGUGCAGUUAAACAAAUCAGCGCUUUUAUGAAAAGAUGUCUUCAAAGAAUAUCACAAUUAUACAAUCACAUUUCACAAAAUAAGUUGUUAACCCAUUCGAACAACUAUAACUGCAUUCUUAGUUGUUGAUAUUUUUUUGUAAAAAAAAAAUGACCGAAAAAAUUAUAAAAGAGGGACGAAAGAUACCAAAGGGACAGUCAAACUCAAAAAUCUAAAACAAACUGACAACGCCAUGGCUAAAAAUGAAAAAGACAAACAGAAAACAAUAGUACACACGACACAACAUAGAAAACUAAAGAAUAAAC